UUUUUGGGGCCACAUCUGAAGCAUAUGGAAUUUCCCAGGCUAGGGGCUGAAUCAGAGCUGUAGCUGCUGGCCUAAGCCAUAGCCACAGCAAUGCCAGAUCCUAGCCACGUCUGUGAUCUACACCACCGCUCACGGCAAUGCCGGAUCCUUUGACACACUGAGCAAGGCCAGGGAUUGAACUCGCAUCCGCACAGGCACUAAAUGGGUUCUUAAGUCUCAGUGGGAACUCCCUAUUUACUACUGUUUUAAGACAUAGUCAUGAUCUUCUACUUCUAAAAAAACAUAUGUGCUUUGGAUCAUAUCAAUCUGUAUUUAAUACAGUUCUACCCUCCUGGGAGCAGUUAGAACAUAACACUAACAGUCUCAUGGCUCUCGGGAUGGAAGAAUCCCUUUAUCAUUCAGCCCAGCAGAAUUGUGCCCCAACUUCCUUUCUGAUUUGUUUGUUUGCUGUCAACUAAAGGUCUGGGAUUUGAGGACUGACCUCUUAAGAGUCCAUCUAAUUGCUAUCUCCUGAGAGUCUGAUGUUCUGACUUAACGAAAGAGCACAAAAAGGCUCCCAUGAACCAGAACGCUUUGUCGAAGACAUUCGGUUUUUUUCUCUUGUUCAUGGCAUUGAUUGCCAUUAGUAGAUUAUGUGCUCCCUCCUACUUUAUCUCAUAAGUUGUAAAAGGUCUACGCUCAAAAGGAUUCUCCUCUCUCUGUGACAAAGGAUAUUGUCUGAAGUAUUUUUCUCACUUCCCCGGAAUAGGUCUAGUGAUUAAAAAAAAAGGCCAUAAAUGUUAAUUCACUAUCUCAAUAAAACCUACAAACUCUACUGCAUUUUACCGGGUUCUCUACAAGAUCCAGACAUGGAGGACACAUUCUCAACCUUUAAAGAGCUCAUCCAAAUAAUAAGUUAUUAGCCUCUGAUGACAGGUAUUAUAAUAAUUAAAUUACAUAAACUGUCUCUAACCUUAGGUAACCAAUGAAUAAGCUGAGGCUCAGGGAAAUAUGCUGAUUUGCCUCAGGGAACACGUCUAGUAAUUUGUAGAGAUGGUGAUUUGGCUGCAUUGGAAUCAAUAGGAAAAAGAAGGGAAUGGGUGUUCCCGUCGUGGCUCAGUGAUUAAUGAAUCUGACUAGGAACCAUGAGGUUGCGGGUUCGAUCCCUGGCCUCGCUCAGUGGGUUAAGGAUCUGGCAUUGCUGUGGCUGUGGUGUAGGCCGGUGGCUACAGCUCUGAUUCGACCCCUAGCCUGGGAACCUCCAGGCUAGGGGAGGCCCAAGAAAUGGCAAAAAGACAAAAAAAAAAAAAAGAAGGGAACGAUAGCAGGCUGUGCACAGUCUUAACUUCUCUUUGACACCAUCUCCAACUAUUUUGUCUGUGAUUUAUUCUCCAUUUUAUAAACACUGUAAGAAUUUAUUAUCUGGUCCACACAUUUCAAUUAUUAUUUAGAUACCGCUGUACAUUCUAUGUGAAGGUUCAAAGGUACAAGAUGGGAACAGGUGAGACAUUAACGAAGCACCACUCUCACUUACGGCUGAGCCUCUCUUCCUCAGAGGGUGUCGAGUUGAGACCGGCUGGAGAGACAACCAGGUAGAUGGCAGACUGCGGAGAUUACCUGAAAAGGCAAGAGGAGGGGAGAGCCAAGAAAAACUGGAUAAGCCAUGUUAUAGGGAACAGUAGUUCAAACCCAAGGGUGAAUAAUUUUGUAUUUAAGUCCCAAAUGGUAACUGAAGAAAGAUGAGGAAAUCCGUUGUUCAAACUAUUUUUGUUCAAUCAUCAGACUAGGGGGUUGGGAUAGCAUGUCCCAAAAAGCCACUACAGGUUCUUAAGUUAGUAAUGGAAUAGGGGAUGAUUUCUGAGGAAAGAAUGUGGAGGAAGUAGAAAAUAAUAAAGCCAAAAGAGAAAACCAGCUGCUUGUGAUGGAAUGCAGGCAAGCACAUUUCUUCAGAGGAAACAAAAAGAAACAAAAUAAAAGAAGGUGCCCACUCUCCCUUUAUCUCUCCAUUUUAUAACCUUACUGAAGCUAUUUUUCCUAUACACUAGACCUUCUAAGAAUGAGGCUUAGCCCAUUAAACCACCCUGCUCCCCGCCCGCUCCUCCACCUUUGGCUUCACUGUCCCAUAUUUUUUCAGACAAUCUUACUUACUUAAGUUCUUUCAUCUAAUGCUCAUAACUCAUCCAUACUCAUCCACCUAUCUAAUGGCUGGAUGUGGUAGCCAGUCUCCAAGAUAGCCUCCAAUGUCCUUACCUUCCUGGUAUUCAUGGUUUGUGUGGUCCCUUCUUACACUGUAUCCAUUUGACCAAUAGAAUAUACAAAUGCAAAGGUGUCGGGAGUUCCCGUCGUGGCGCAGUGGUUAACGAACCCGACUAGGAACCAUGAGGUUGUGGGUUCGGUCCCUGCCCUUGCUCAGUGGGUUAACGAUCCGGCGUUGCCGUGAGCUGUGGUUGCAGACUCAGCUCGGAUCCUGCGUUGUUGUGGCUCUGGUGUAGGCCGGUGGCUACAGCUCUGAUUCGACCCCUAGCCUGGGAACCUCCAUAUGCUGCGAGAGCGGCCCGAGAAAUGGCAAAAAGAAAAAAGAAAAAAAAAAAAGGAUAUACUGUAUAGCAGAAGGAAUUAUACCUAUAUCUCUGUAAUAACCUAUAAUGGAGUAUAAUCUGCAAAAAUACUGAAUCACAACACUGUACACCUGAAAUUAACACAAUAUUGUAAAUCAACUAUAUUUCAAUUCCAAAAAACCCUUAAAUUUGCAAGUGCACUUUAAUGUUCUCAAGGAACAGUGAGCUCAGAGGUCUGCUUGAAGUGCCACCUGCUGGUAGCAACUUUUAGCAUCCCAAGCAGGCUGGAAUAAUCGUUGCUGACGGCCAGUGCUAACCUGUGACACCUUUCCAAGGUAAACCCUGACUACCUAUUUUAUGCCUCUUCUGAGAAUUAGCUUCUUCAAUUCCCAGAGAUAACAACACCUGCCUUGGCUUCUUCACAGGAAUGCUAAAAUAUGAUACCCCUGAACACAGAACAUCAUAUAAACAUGUAAGGAGUUCUAAUGAUCAUACUUUCUAGCCUCUUAUCUCUCCUGCUUUACCAAUUCAUUUCUUUCUGCCUGCAAACAUGCAGAAGUAUCCAUUAAUAGAAAAAAAGCAAAUAUGAAAAAAAAACCCUUUUCAGUGGAUUUCCCCACCACCACCCCAUCACUGCCAAACCUCUCAAAGGCUUAGUCUGCCACCCCCAACUUCAUAUAAAAUUUCCAUCAUUUAUCCAUAAAAUUCACAGACUGCUUCCUGGACAUUUCCAUGAAAGUUAGGUAAGAAAUGAACAAAAUAAUUGCUCAACAAGAGAAGCCACUUGACUUGGUUGGCAUGAUUUGGUAUCAUCCUCAUUUUACAAAGAAACUGAUUAUUGGAAAGGGUUAAAAGGAAGGAAGGAAGCAAGCAAAUCAGACAGGUUAGAAUCACUCAGAAAGAGGUAACCAGGACCAGCUAUACAAUUUGAGGCUCCCAGGGCAAUAUGAAAAUGUAGGGCAGCUUGUUUGAAAAACAAGAAAAGGAGUUCCCAUUGUGGUUCAGCGGUAAAGAAUGCGACUAGUAUCCAUGAGGAUGCAGGUUAGAUUCGUGGCCCUGCUCAGUGGGUUAAGGACCCAGUGUUGCUGUGAACUGUGGGGUAGGUCACAGACAUGGCUCAGAUCCUGCAUUGCUGUGACAGUGGUGUUGGCCUGCAACUACAGCUCCAAUUCAACCCCUAGCCUGGGAACUUCCAUAUGCCAUGGGUAAAAAAAAAAAAAAAAAAAAAAAAAAAAAAGUGCUGUUUAAGGUAUUAAACUACAAGGCCUUUUCCCUUCUCCUGUGGUCUCUCCCUCAACUUGCCAUGGUACUUGUUUGUUUUAAUUUUUAUUUAAUGUCAUUCCAAGUAAAGGGAAAUUAAAAUUUUAAAUUAAUGGCAUGAAUUUUGCCAUUCAUCUUUAUAUUUUGCAAUGCUAGUUUUUUGCUUUUCUUUUUAGGGCCACAUGUAUGACACAUGGAAAUUCCUGGGCUAGGGGUUGAAUUGGAGCUGCCUCUACUUAUCUACACCACAGCCAUAGCAACUCGGGACCCGAGCAUCUGCAACCUAUGCCACAGCUUGCUGUGAUGCCAGAUCCUUAACCCACUGAGUGAGGCCAGGGAUUGAACUCACAUCCUCACGGACAUUAUGUCAGGUUCUUAACCUGCUGAGCCACAAUGGGAAUUCUUGCAAUGGUAGUUUUAAAUGCAAAUAUAAGAGCAUUUAUUUCAUAUGUAGAAUCACCAAAAUCACACAAUUGGUAUUUCAUAGCUCAUGUAUGCAUCUAUACUUCAUUCUUAUAAGAACAGUGGAAAUGCUGCACAGAACUAACUCGACUGUUUUUAUUUUACUUCUUGAUGUGUGUGUAUUCUACCAACACUUUCUACCUUUGCUUAUUGAUGAAUAAGAAAACCCUGAAAGGAAAAGGAACUAUGGGUUAAUCUAUCUUUCCCUUUUCUUUAUGUCAUAUUUAAUGUAAGUGGUUGGCUAAUUCAGUAUAGCAACAGGUGUUAGAGCAGAAAAUCAAAGACGAGGCAGGAGGCCAGAGUGCCAAGACUUCGAGCACUGAGACUUUAACUUGGAGUUUUAUUGACCAACAGAUUGGCCAGAAGCACUGAGAGAGAACUCAGGCUCUCUGCUCCUUAGAGAGAAGUUAGUUAUAUAGAAAAAGGGGUAGCACAGGUUUGUUCUUGUUCUUGUUCUUGGGCUAAGUCAGUAUUCAAGGGGAAGUGGGAGGCAAUCUCUUUAGGAAUGAUUUUGGGUAGGAGAUAGAGGUAAAUUGUAAAGAAACAUCCAGUGACAAAUGACUGCUAACUCCAAGGCAGUUAGUUCAUUGUUGGGGGAGGGAUUAGCCUUCUAGACUAUAAGUCUGAUUAGAGUUUUGGUGGUGCCUAGCAAGUCAUGUCCAAUUCUCCACCUAAGAACAGGAACAAGAGAGAAUAUGAUGAGAUUCCUUGGUCAUUUAUGUUGCUUUGAAUGUCAUUGCCAUCUUUCUGCAUUCAGAACAAGUCCUGGUUCCAAUGGAAAAUGUGGCCUCUAGGGUGUUGUCAGCAUCCCUGCUUGCUCAGUUGUAGGCACGACAUACUUUGUACUCACUUGGAGUUUCAAUAAACUUCUGCACAUGGUGGUUCCCCUGGAAUCCUGUAUUCAUUGGGUAUUGUGAAUGCUCCAUGGGAAGGGGGCAGCAAGGGAUGGUGGGCCCACGUAUAAUGGAGCAGGAUCCUGUGGAGUCUCCCUGGGGCAGGCCCUUCCCCCAUAUCCUCUGCUUUAGCUCCUCUCUGAAGUACCUAGGUAACAGUAUCUGAUGUGCAUUUCCUGAGUAGUUUUACAAAUGUGAAAAUCACCACCCCUCAACCAAAUGGAAGAUAUUAACAACUCGAUGAACAUGAGCAUAUAAAGCCCCAGGCCUCCUGGAGCCUAAGGACUGAUCAUGGUAACUCCUGUGACAUUGCCCUGUAACCUCACCAUCAGCCAAUCAGAAUUGUGCACGAGCUGAUCAUUUACCCUGAGACCACACUACCCCCCCCCCCAUCUCCACUAGCUUUUAAAAUGCUGUGGUGCAGUGGGUUAAGGAUCCAGCAUUGCUGCAAUUGUGUCAUAAGCCAUGCUUCAGCUUGGAUUUGAUCUCUGGCCUGAAAACUUACAUAUACUGUGGGUGCAGCUGAAAAAGAAGGGGAAAGUAAGCUUUAUAAAUUUGGUUCAGGAAGUUCCAAAGUGCAUUGGGCACAGGAACUUGCACGAAUACAUUAUCACAGCCAUCUCCUCUAAUUCACGUGCAUGUUCCAUUGUCCCAUCAGACUUUGCUUAUAAAACACAAGUUUAGGAUUUCCCCUGUGGCCCAAUGGGUUAAAGAUCCAGUGUUGUCACUGCAGUAGCUCAGGUCACUGCUGCGGUAUAGGUUUGAUUCCUGGCCUGAGAAUUUCCACACGCCACAGGAACAGCCAAAAACAUUUUUUAAAAUAAAUAAAAACACAAGUUCAAAGAUAAAAUUAUUAAUAAUUUCAAGAUAGCAACAAAAGAGCACUAAAGUAAGUGUGGGGCCCUUCUAAGUGCUGAGCCCUGCUGCAUGCUCACAAAGCCAGCUCUGGAGUAGCUAAGUGAGCAAAGAGCUCAUAUCUGACUCCAAGGGCAAGUCCCUUAACACGUCACAUGGAGUCAACUCAAAUAACACAGGGCAAGGCAUUGGCAGAGUGACAAAGAAUGCCAAGAAGAUGAGAAAGUUUUCAGGGGCUACAUAAUAGGCAACAUUGAACUGCUGGCCUUGGCUCUAGAAGGGUUAGAGAAGUUCCUAAAGACGAUAAAAGACUGAGGUCUAAGAGAAUGGGAAGGGGUAAAGGAAGUAAAACCUGGGAGGAGAAUGAUGAGGAGGUAGAAAGAAGUGCUUGGAAGAACAUGACUGUCAGAAGGAUAGAACAGCCUAGUUAUUUUCAGCAGAUGUAUAGACUGGCAGAGAUUAUAACUUAAAAGUAGGUCAGUUCCCAAGGGUAGGACAGACAUCUUAACCUCUCGAUGUUCAGGGAGCAUUCAUUUUGGCAGCCUGCAUCUAUACAGUACUUUCAAAAAGGGGUGAGGCCAGAGAAGCAAGGAACAAGUACCACGAGUCCAAUAAAGCAUUUUUACAAGAGGCAGGGCAAUCCUGGGGUAUAUUCCUCAGAAGGCCAGGUAGGAGGUCCAAUCAAGGAGGUCUAUCUGCCAACUGGAAGGACCUGCUACAAGGCUGAGGCCAGGGGACAGCUAGAAUGGAGGCAGGGUCCCUGAUCAAGAAAUGGACAAGGAAUGAGAGUCAUUAUCGAUGGGUACAGGGUUUUUGUUGUGGAUGAUGAAAAAGUUUGGGGUAUAAAUGUUGGUAAUGGUUACACAACAUUGUGAAUAUGAAUGUCACUGAGUUGCACGUUUGUGAAUAGUUCAAAUGUAAGCAUUAUAUUAUGUGUAUUUACUAUACUUAAAAAAAAAGACUCUGGAAAAAAAUAGAAUAGGGUAUUAGAUUUACCAGACCAAGGAAGGAACAGAGAUCCAAAGAUUAGAAUUAAGGUAUAUAUACCUUGGGGUACAUAUAUGGGGUGAGGGUAGGGGCUCUUAAAGACACCUCUUCUUUUCUCAGAAGAGGAAGCAAAGCAGCUUGAGAUGGACACCUCUUUACUUGCCUGGGAAGGCUUCCUCAUUUGAGUAGCUACUGUGCCUGAUCCUGGAGAUGGACUUUGAGGCCGAGACCACAGGGAUGUGGGCAAGGCAGAGGGUGAAUUCUGCCAUGUGCACCAGGCCUUGGCCCAGGCCAUAACUAAGGGACAUCUUAAAGGCUCUAAGGUCCUAAUUUAGGCACUGAAUUUCUUCUUGGAAUUCCUUCAGGGGCCUUGAAACCCAGCCCCAGGAACCAAGUAGGAUCUAGCUUCAAGUAUGCUUGGAGAGAAAGUCCACAUUGGCAUCCCAGAUCUCCAGCCUUCUUUUAAGAGUCAGGUCCUCAACCGUUGUGAUUGGCAGAGCACAUCCAGCCAUCCCUGGCUUAGGGAUGAUGGCUGUGAUGGAAAGGGAUAGGAAUGUUGCUGGGGGUGGGGGAGGGGGGAGUUGAGAUGCUGAGAUGAGGUGGAAAGAUGGCUGGACUAUUUUUAGGGAUAGAGAGAGAUAAAGGAUGGUUCAAUCAGAUGAAGUUUGGCAGCUGGAAUGAGAUAUAAAGAGAGAAGGAAGGGAAAAAAAAGUUAAGGAAUUGAGAUUUCGGUGCCCCAGCAAUCAUUCAUUCAAAUGUUUAAUGAGCACUUUAAACUGUGCCAGACACUGAUCUAGAGGUAGAGCAGCAACAGAGAACUAGACAAGACACUCAAAGAUCUUGAGUCUAGCACUGAAGAUAGAUCAUCAAACAGUUACACCAAACUAUGAUGAAUAUUAUGAUGAGGGAAAAAGACAAGGCCAGUGAAGGAAAAUGGGUUUAUAGUAAUUAGAAUUAGGUUCUGCAACAUAUAACAGAUAUUAGGCUGUUGCUUAAAUGAGAUAAACAUUCUUUUUUUUCACACAUAAAAGAAGUCCAAGGCUGGAAUGGCAGUUCCACAUAUCUUAAAAGGAGGGGCUGUUAUCAUAUUGUUUUACUCUGGCAGCUUCCAUCUUCAGUGUUACCUCAUGCUCCAAGAUGGCUGUUGGAGCUCCAACCAUUGUUUCUGAGUUGAAGACUGCAAAAAAGAGGCAAAAAAAGAGACCCACUUCUGUUGAAUCAACUUCUUUUGAGCAGCCUUCCUGGAAGUCCUAUUUCCUUGGAAGACUUGGGACUUGGUUGUACCCCAAUUCAAGGGAAACUGGGCAGCAAUGUGGCCAGCUAAAAUUCAGGUUUUGAUAAAAAGGAGGAAAGAAAUAUUUAAGGCUGCAUUAGAUAGCAGUCUCUAGCACGAUGUUUUCAUCCUUUGCAGGUGAUACUCAUGAAUAUUGAGGACUGAAUGCUCAGAAACAUGAUGUUGAAUUCUAGCAGAACUACCAAAGAUUAUUAUUUUUGGAAAUAGUAUUCUCUUUUAGUAGAAGGCAUAAUUUAUAAAGAAAAAAAUAUACAUAUAGUCUUUUUAGGGCCACACCUGAGGCAUAUGGAAGUUCCCAGGCGAGGGGUCAAAUCAGAGUUGUAGCUACUGGCCCACACCACAGGUUACAGCAAUGCCGGAUCCUUAAUUCACUGGGCCAGCCUCGUGGAUACUAGUC
ensembl:lncRNA